rnacentral:rRNA from 1 species
UACAGAGGGGGCUAGCGUUGUUCGGAAUUACUGGGCUUAAAGCGCAUGUAGGCGGCCUGCCAAGUCAGGAGUGAAAUCCCAGGGCUUAACCCUGGAAUUGCUUUUGAUACUAGCAGGCUGGAAGAUGGUAGAGGAUAAUGGAAUUCUUAGUGUAGGAGUGAAAUCCGUAGAUAUUAAGAGGAACACCAGUGGCGAAGGCGGUUAUCUGGGCCAUUCUUGACGCUGAGAUGCGAAAGUGUGGGGAGCAAACAGG